rnacentral:rRNA from 1 species
GGGAGCGUGUGUGCAGCAGGCGCGAGUAGUCGUGUGGGGGUAGCGUGUGGCGUGAGUAGUGGGCCUAAAGCGUGUGUGGGCGGUCGUGUAAGUUCGCUGUGAAAGUCGGGGGCUGAACGCGCGUGUGUCGGUGGAUACUGUCGGGCUGGAGGACGGAAUAGGCGAGUGUAAUUCCUGUUGGAGCGGUGAAAUGCGCAGAUAUCAGGAGGAACACCAAUUGCGAAGGCAGCUCGCUGGGACUUUACUGACGCUGAGACGCGAAAGCGUGGGGAGCAAACAGGAUUAGAUACCCUAGUAGUC